ensembl:lncRNA
CACACACACACACACACACACACACACACACACACACACACACACACACACACACACACCUACCUGGUGUUCCCUAAUGAACCCUGACCUCCUGACGAUGGCCUGGAAAGGAGACUGUGCUGAUCCAGAUGUCAUCUCUCACUCUGGGCUCAGAUGGGGUUAAUGUAUCUAAUAUAUAAAUCACAGAUGGGGUUAAUGUAUCUAAUAUAUAAAUCACAGACAGGGUUAAUGUAUCUAAUAUAUAAAUCACAGACGGGGUUAAUGUAUCUAAUAUAUAAAUCACAGAUGGGGUUAAUGUAUCUAAUAUAUAAAUCACAGACGGGGUUAAUUUAUCUAAUAUAUAAAUCACAGACGGGGUUAAUGUAUCUAAUAUAUAAAUCACAGACGGGGUUAAUGUAUCUAAUAUAUAAAUCACAGACGGGGUUAAUUUAUCUAAUAUAUAAAUCACAGACAGGGUUAAUGUAUCUAAUAUAUAAAUCACAGACAGGGUUAAUGUAUCUAAUAUAUAAAUCACAGAUGGGGUUAAUGUAUCUAAUAUAUAAAUCACAGACGGGGUUAAUGUAUCUAAUAUAUAAAUCACAGACAGGGUUAAUGUAUCUAAUACAUAAAUCACAGACAGGGUUAAUGUAUCUAAUAUAUAAAUCACAGACAGGGUUCAUUUAUCUAAUAUAUAAAUCACAGACAGGGUUAAUGUAUCUAAUAUAUAAAUCACAGACAGGUUUAAUGUAUCUAAUAUAUAAAUCACAGACGGGGUUAAUGUAUCUAAUAUAUAAAUCACAGACGGGGUUAAUGUAUCUAAUAUAUAAAUCACAGACAGGGUUAAUGUAUCUAAUAUAUAAAUCACAGACGGGGUUAAUGUAUCUAAUAUAUAAAUCACAGACGGGUUUAAUGUAUUUAAUACAUAAUGUGAUACGGGGACAUGGAUGAGGACAGGGAGGAGAUAAGAGCUGAGCUGUUUGGGGUUGACACACUGAGUCAGAAGCACACACACACACACACACACACACACUCUCACACUCUCACAUACACACACUCACACUCACUCACUCACACUCACACACACACACACACACACACACACACUCACACACACUCACACACACUCUGGUGAGGUUGGUUUGCAUGUGACCCAUAGUAAUGGUGUCAGUUCAGUGUUCAGGUGUGUUGCCCGGGGCAACUGUGAUUGAGUCACGUGAUCAUACUCUGAUCAGAGCUGGAAGC